AUAUAUAUAUAUAUAUGUUUAAAAUUAGCUCAUAAGCUUUCUAAUGUUUUCUAUCUCCAUAGCACAGAGCUUUACUCUUGAAAAAAUAUUAAGCCUGGAUUUGUACUUAAUUAGCUAAAAGCAGGGAGAGGUUAAUUUUUACAUUUCCAAUUGAUUGUCUCUUGCAUUGAGGGGUAUCAUAAAUAAACUUCAGUUUCAUAACAAAUAAUCAGAAUGUUCAAAUAACCUGAAAAGUUCUUACAAUAAUUGCUUCUAUGUAUUCAGAGGAUAAGGAGGGAGUGUCAAGUGCUAAGGAGGGAGAAGCAGCGUGGGAGUAUUUCAAGGCACCUCACCCUGAUGAAAGUUAUAAUUACUCUAAGUAUAUGAUUGAUCUAAUGGUUUCUGUGCGGCUCACCAUCCAGAGGCUCUGCCCUUCAGAGGGUCUGUGUCAUUCACCAUAGCAAAGUACCGAGAGAAUCUUUUUGUGUAAAGAUGUUUGAGUACCAUUUUUUCUAUUUCACCUAUAGCAUAGAGUGCAUCUCAUGUACACACAGCAUGAGCUAGACAUAUAUUGAACGAGCGCCCUUGGGGACUGUGAGAGUUGAGGUGAUUCCCAAAGCAUCUCACGUGAUAUGGUUGGGAGGUUAUAAUAUCUCUAUUCUGUAGAUUAAAAAAAUGAAUUCAAAAGAAUUAGUAUAGAGAAAGCUAUAGUUAAGCAGCUCAGAUAAUGUAUGUAUAUGCAAUAUAUAAUGUAUAUUAGACUUAUUAUUUCACUGGUGUAGGGAAUUCCCAAUGAGAAAAUUCUCUCUACCAAUGCAGAUCAGGACUUCUCUGUAAUUUACAGUCUCAGAGAUGUGCCUGUAUUCUCUUGGACACCAAGGCAAAUUGAAAAAAAAAACCCAAACCACAGUGUUUGCUCUGACACUAUUGUGGGAUACAUAUGAAUGAGAAUAUAAGUAAUAAUUGGUGGAGGAAGAGAGAGCACCAGCAACUCAGGAAAAUGCCACACAUCAAUAAGUACUUCUCUUUGUUAUAAUGUAUAGCAAGCACUUCAUAAACUUUCAAGUGUCGUAUAAAUGUCAAUUAUCAUUAUUUGUUUAAUGAUGAUUCAAUUUAUUAAUCACCCGCCAUGUGCCUGCUAUGCCUGCCAUCAUAGGGCUAUGAAUCUAGUGUUGGAAUAAAUCUUUGAGGGCAUUUAUUCCAACUCUCUUAUUUUACAAUUAAGGAAACUGAGGUCCAUGAAGGUUAAGGGGAAUGGAGAAGGGAAUAAACUUUCAAAUAGAACGUACUAUGUGCCAGACACUGUAUGUGCUGCUUUAUAAAUAUUAUCACAUUUGAGGUUAAGUAACUUGUCUUAGGACACAUACUUUAUAAGGAGCAAGCUGGGAUUUGAACCUAAGCACUCUAAUUCCUAAUCCACAAAUUGGGAAUCAAAGAGUUUAUAUUUCAAAGGAAAAGGGGGUGGGAAGAAAGAUAUGCAGAUAAAGUUGAAUAAAAGGAAAAUGCACUAGGGCAGAUUCAAACAAUGUGCUAUGAAAAACUUGAGAAGGAAGAGCUAACUUUUAGAGGUUAAGUGAGGAGCAAGGAGGGAAAUUUUCUUGUAUUGUGGACCCCUGAUUUGGGCUUUUAUGCACACAAAAAGAGUAGUAGUUCAUUCCAGGCAUAAGAGUGGGUAUGAGGAAAGACAGCAAUGUGUAAUAACAGAAUAAGAGAUAUUAGACUCUCUAUGGUGGCUGAAAUGCACCUAAGAAAGGGAGCAGAAUGAAACUAGGAAAGUCGGUUGGAGCUAUACUAUGUAGAAUCUUAAGUGGUAAUUUAGAAGAUAAUGAGGAACCUCUGAGUUUUUGAGUAGACUAGUAUUACCAGAGGUGGAUAUUAAAAACCUUCCUGGGGCAGAGAGUAAAGGAUGGAUUCAGGUAAAGGGGAUAGACUGGAGAAAGGAAUAAUGGGGAAAUAUGAAGAUGAUCUAGAUAACAUUUCUGAUACAGUUAAAAAGUGGUAUAAAAUUAGACUGAUAUAUGCUAUUGUACUUCAUUAUUGCCUGAUGAAGGUCACUUUAAAUUAUCAGGCCAGGUUUUUGUUUUUUGUCCUUUUUUUGUUGGACCUUUAAAUCACUGCAUAUCAGAUUUCCUCAGGAGGGAAUUGCCCUAGUGUUCUGUGGAAUGGCCAAUAUUUUCCCUCUUGUUGCUGAAUAAGUAGCAAUGCUUUGCUGCCACAGGAACAUCUAUCAACUGACCCACUCACCAUCUGGGAUAUGUGCCCAAGUCAUCUUUUGGUGGUUAUCCAGGGCUUACCUGGACCAAGUGAAAUUCAUUUCUGAUUGAGAGUUGAUAACUUUUCAACACAGGCUUAUUGGGUGAGGGAAUAAGAAAGUCUUCUUUUCUUUCACUCUGACUAGUCACCUUUCUUCAACCUAAUUGAAGGAAUAAAUCUGUACAAUCUCUAUUAGAUAUAUGACUCUUGAGUGAUUUUUUAAAAUCCAAGUAUGUAAAUUGCAAUUAAGCUAAAAACUUAAAUGAUCAAUACUGCCACAAAGUCAAAGUAAUACUCAGCAGCCAUGGCUUUGGAAAACAAAUGAUUUUACCUUCAACUAAAGAGUCACUGCUUUGAAAUUUCUUCAUUCUACUUUUUUGGUGCCUGUAGUAUUCAAGUGAUGAUGUAGAACUAUGGUUUAAAUUUAAUGGCAGCAAAGGUCUUGCUUUUUCCCUUGGCUUGGCUGGAGCUAAAGAUAGACUAGUGUUUGAAAACAUAUGCAUUCCUUUCUAAUGAAAUGGAUUUUAGUUCUUUCAUGGCUGAAGUUUUGGUUUAGUCUUUGAAUUCUAGAAUACUAUUUGUAGUUAUAUCAAUGAAUAAAUAAUUGAUUGAUAAUGCUAGAUACAUACUCAGAGCCAUAACAAGAAUUCAGGCAUGAGGUGCAAAUUCAGUUGUAUAUAAGACCUUAGGGUAUCAUGAAACUGGCAUAUGUCACCAUGGCUGCUCCCCAACCAAGGCCACGUGAGGAUAGACAUGUAGGAUUCAAAUGAGCACAGUUGGUACCUCUGGAAGAGAAGCAUGAUGAUUAUAGGACCCUCAAGGAAGGUGUUCCCAUAAAGGACAGUGGAAAGGGGAGGGAUACUUCCUUCCUCCAUAAUGCCAGCAUUUUGGGGAAUUCUUGCUUCUUUCCUUUGGGCUGUCCAUCCUUAACUAGGAAGAAAAUAUUGCCCUUCUCUUCCAUAUUGACAAUCUGUGGGAAAAAUCAUAUUAGUCUUGUCUUAAUUAUCUUCCUGUACUUGUUAUGUCCUUAGCAAGUCAGACUUGCUAAUAUAAUAUCUACAUAUGCAUUUCUGAAGUUUGUUUCUUUAUUAGAAUUAAUAUUGGAUUUCUUAAUAAUAAUAUCAUUAUAUAUAUUAUAUACACACACACACAUAUAUAUAUAUGCAUAUAUACAUAUAUCUUUAAAGAAAAGAGAGAAAUUCCUAGAGAGGAGAUAAUUCAGUUUGGUUUUCAGCACAGCUAUUAAGAAGUUCUUCCUGCUUUGCUCAGUGAUGCAUUGGAAAAUUACCAUAUAAUGUCAUUGAGUUUAGGAAGCUUCGUCCCAAAAGUGCUGAUGCUAGGGAAGUGUCAGUGUCUCUUUGAUUUUCUCUCUACCUUUCAAUGAGCUUGGGUCUUUAAUUCUGACAUGCAUAUUAGUAAUACAUAGGCACAAUGUAUAAUUCAGGGAACCAGGAAAAGGUGAAUCAUAUUUUGCUUCAUUCAGCUUGAAAACAUUGAAUUAAUAUAAUUGGAGAAAUCUGUUUUUCCCUAGGUCCAGUUUGCAAAGUUUUGGGCUGUAAAGCAUGGGAAGUAUACAAACACCUUUCCUGUUUGUGCAUUCUUCAGAAUGAUACCCUUGUAACCUGCGGAAAAAAACUUGAUGUUACAAAAAUUGCUUCUGCACCUGGAUGAAGAAAAGUAAUUUCCUGCCAGAAGAAAAGAGGAGAAACAUACAAGCGGGAUCUUAGACUGGGGGCACUGGACCUGGAAAUGACCUUGGAUUUCAUCUAAUCCCAUACCUUCAUUCUAUAAUCAAGAAAACUGAGGCCCAAUACCACAUCUUCAGUCAUUUAUCUAAGGUCACAUAGGUAUAAAGAUCACAAGCAGAAUUUGAUACCAGAUUCUCUGACUCUAGAGUCCAACUGCACUUUCCAUUGUACCAGAAACAAUAAAAUUACAGUGACACAGA